GCGACCGAGGUGAUAUAAAGGGCGGCGCGGGGCGUGCCGUGCCGCUGCGGGGUGGCGGCGGCGGCGGGCAAGGUGGAGAGCAAACCAACUGCCUUACGACAGUCAUCUUCAGUUUGGUAGUGGUUUGUGACCCAAGAAAGGAUUUUCCCACUGACUGAGCUGAAGUAAGAGAGAGGAGCCUGUCCUGAAGCUUAUGGUACUGUUCCUGCCCAUGGCUCAGCAGAGGGGAAGGAAGAAAUGCUACCUGCAGUUUAACAGUUGUGUGAAUGAAAAAACUUACUUUUAAUGCACAGCUUGCAACCUGGUAGGACUCAAGGAGAGACUGGCACUGCUAAGAUUGCAAUUCAUCCAGCAACUCACAUCUUUCUCAGAAGUCUUGUCUGAGGAAUACUGGGGCAUGUGUCAGCAGAGAAGCUGUGGUGUUGCACUUCAACAGGAGUGUAUGUCAUUUGUGCCUCAUAUGUCUGAAAAUGGAAAGGGGUUAGGGAACUGAGUAUUGCCAGUCACAAAGUUCAAAAAAACUGCUAGGGCUGAAAAUGCUGUUUUACAAAGAUGUGGGGUCAGGGAGUGCAAGUCUUUCUUCUAUUUUUUGUGUUCUGGUUGAUUUGGGCCAUCUUUUAAAAUUAUUUCAACAACCAUAAGGGCCAGAAACUUACUGUUUUGUAACAUCUUUUAUGUCUCUCUCUUUUUUUUUUAGUUUGUAUUUUGAUUCUUGAAACUCUUCAUAAAGCUUGACUUUCAUAUAGAAUAGCCCUAUUUCUUCUUUAAAUUUGAUUAUAUGCUCUCAUUUUCAUGUAUGUAUUAGCAAAGUGUAAUAUUUCUUUUAAAGCUUUUAAUAUUUUCAGGCUUCCUUCCAUUUAAAAUUAUAAUUCUCUGCUAUGUCAAUUAAAUGCUACACCAAUUUUCUUGAAGUUGAGUAAUUUUUGCCUUCAGUUCUACCUCUGAAUUUCAUCAGCACCAGUUAGGGCUGUCCAUCAGCAGCACAUUACUUAAACCUGUACAAAAAGUAUCCAGCUUUUUAUCAUUAAUCUGGUAUUUCUAGAAUAUAUUUCUACAUUUCAGUUCUUCUCUUUUCACUACAAUUCAUUUUACUCAUCACUAAUGUGGUUGCAGCUCAACUCAGCUCAGUUUGCUUUGCUGGGACUACAUUCAAUCAGGAAAAAAAUUCAGGCUUGUUUCCAAUUUCAUUAUCUGGAGGAGAAAGAGCUGGUAUCAGCAUGUUCAUACCCUGAUUAACAGUUUUAAGAACAAAGUAUAAACACUUGAAAUAAAUUAAUUUAUUUACUAAGGAAAUUACCAAUCUCAUCUGCAUCUAUUUCUGAAACAGAAGAUUUGUUUGAAGUUCUUCCUUUUGGAUCUUAGCUUCCAGACACUGUCUUCACAAAUCCCAGGUUGUAAUAUCAUAAUCUCCCCUCAAGGGUCUGUUUACAUCUGAGGCUCCCCUGUAGACAGCAUUAGGUACAAAUACAUUAGAACUUAAACAUUAAGUUGUUCUCUGACAUUGAUGUGUGGACAUAGUAUUUAUCUUUAGAUGGAUAGAGAGGCCUGAAAUAUGUGACACUUAAUUCCUCUCUUUCACCUUCGUAAGGACAAAAGAAAGGGUGCUAUUAAUUAUUUUCCUAAUUUCAUAAAUAUGAUCUGGUCUACACAAGCAUGUAAAAAGAGCUUCAUCUAAAAUUUUUCUAGUUAGCACUGGUCAAUUAGAUUGGAAGCAGAAAUCAGUGUAAAUCAAAUCAUAAUUUAACCUGAUACAGUGACUAAAGUAAUUCAGAGGCAAGAACAAAUAAGGGUGCAGGCAGAGAAGAUGUCUAGAACAUUAUAGGCAAGAUACAGAAUUUGGAGGAGGUGCAUGUCAUGACAGGUUGUUUCAACUUGGGCUUUGCAUAAAAGAAGAAAAGCUAAAAGAGAAAACUAAAAUCCUGACAAAAAUGCAAAAUUUUGAAGAGAAGGCAAAGAACAAUACAUUAACCAUAAAGCAGAGAUAAAAUGUAUGGAAAUAAUUGAAGGAGCAGACUCAUGAUUCCUGAUGCAUCAAAAUAGAUACAGACUUAAGUCUGUAUUCCAACAGAAGGUAAAGCCAUGAUUAAAAUUUUGCCUGUGUUUAUGUGCUUAAUUAAUCCUAUAGUAAUCAUAGUCUCCUCCUUCAGCUUUCACUGAGCCGUAGGAUUCACUGCAUCCUGGGAAUUUAGAUUGCUCAAUACUUCCAAAUACUGCUUUUAUUUAAGUGUACCAAGCCCACACUUACAAGAUACAAUUCGUCUUUAAUGUUUUUCUAACAGUUUUUACUUGAAGGAUCUUAGUAGUACUGGGCAUUGGUCCAAUAAACAUGAACUUGUUCAAAGGUAGAAGACAGUAUAUGAGAUCCUCCCUAAUAUUUUCCUUCUUUAUUUUGCCCUGUUUAAAUAAGCAAAAAAUAGCCUAAUUUUUUCCCCAGCAUCCAUGAAUUGUUUCACAUAUACAAUGCUGUAAAAGAAAAUUGCUCUUGGAAUUUAUGCUAACAUUUCCUCCUGAUAAUGACUUUAACAAGUAAAAUUAACAGAUUUUCUUACCAAAAUAACCCAGAAAUAAAUGUUAAAUGUUUAUUCUCUUUUAAAAACAGAAACCACUCAGCAACCAAAUAACUCUGGAGUGUCAAAUAAGUGUGCUUUAUUUACAGUCAUGAGGCUUGUAUCUGAAGUGAAUUAAAAAUUUAUCUUAGGUCAAUAUAUCAUGAUGGUUUUGUAAAUGUGUUUCUGAGGACAAGACUAACUACACCCAUUGAUGUGAAUAAUAUACAAUCAAUACCCAUUUUCCUUUCUAAAAUAAUGAAUUAAAAUCCAUCUGCAACUAGGACUUCGUUGUUAUUCUUAAAAAAGAAAAUCAGCAUAGUAGGCAAUUAAAACUGGAACAAAGAAAAAAAUGAAAACAAAGAGAGGAGGAGUAGAAGGAUUUUUACUGAAAGCUAUUACAAAAACCAGAAUUCCCAAAUGAGAUGAAAAAGAGUAGCCAAGAGCAACAAAAGAUACAUCUUAAGGUCCAGCUCCUGCAGUCUUUUAGUAGUACACAUUUAGCUCAUGCCACAGAGCAAGCUGCAGGAUUCUGAAGUGUUUGCAAGAUCAGACACCAACCAUUCAGCUUGGCUGUAGGUUAGCAGUAACAACAGUUACUACAAUUACAUUUGAAACACCGUGUAAACUCCUGAAGUUCCAGAGGUGUUUCUAUUCUCGAGAACUAACGAUAGCUUAAAUUACUCACGAUUUUUCAUGUAUUUUCUUUAGAUUUUUAAUUUAAAAUACUAUGGAACCAUUUAUUAAAAGGUGUUUUCCAAGAAGCCGAAGGAAGAACUAUAACUUUUUCAAUAACAAUUUCUGUUUAAUUGAAAUACUUUUAAUAAUUAAAAAUAAUAAGAAAAGGGUUGGGGGUUUGUUCGAGUGUUGUUGUAGCUGUUAUAUUAUAAAGCUGUAUUUCAGUGAGUAAUCCCUUUAAAUACUCUGAAGUCUGGACAAAUUUAGAGAUGGCAUAUUUUUUCCAUGGCAUAUUUUAAACACACCUGCUGAGCUGGGUUCAUGGGCAGGACACUGGAUCUAUCUACUCUCAGGUAAAACAGCUACCUACCCACAGGACUUAAAGAUUUCGUUUAAUAUUAAAUGAUCCUUUUAGAGUGGCAUCAAGACAUCCCUGUAUUAUAGUGAAGAAGUUUGCAUGUUCAGUAUAUCUGAUGGAUAGUUCACUGAGUCCAAGAGCAUUUAAACCAACACAGCUUCACAAGAACAUAGGAGGAACUAAAAUAGAGCAGAUGACCUUAUUCAGGUCCCUCAUUCUGAAAUGAAACCAUGUUACUGCUAGAAAACAUUUUGGCUAAAGAAAAUUCUGCAGUUAGUUUAGUUCUGAGUAUUAUAUGCUUAACAUUAUUUGCGUACCUAAGCAUGACAUCUGAGCAAAUUGCAAGACCUAACCUACUGGACAUUUUGGAAAGCACAGAGUUAAUGUGCCAUAGUGAGGCAUUUGGCUCUUGUUUUCCUGGCAUUAAGACCUCUUAAUUUAUCGGCCAAAUUUGACUAUACUGCCACUGUAGCUGUAAUCUAAACAACCCUAAGAAUAUGCUAAUUAAGCAGAUUGCUAGCAGAUAGAUUCUCUUGGCUGGAAUUCUACCAUAAGCAGUGAAAUUUGUUUUCUGGAAAAAGAAUUCACUGAAUUAUCUAAUAAUUCAGUGAAUUGCAGAGAGAAACUGUGAACCUGAAUAUAGAUCUGGACUUGCUCACAAGUGAAUGUGUGGUAACAGUGCUAGUAAUAACCUUCAGGUGUCUGCUGACAUCAGAAAGGAGACAUAUGUCCCUUAGAUGCACAUACAGCACUGGUACUAGCUGGCUGGCUGGGCCUUUGAAUUCUGUCACAGAAAAAAUCUAGACCAUGUGUUACGUAUCAAGAUUCAAGGGAUAAGAAAAUGGAGGUGCUAGCAAAGAUCUAAUGUGUUAAUACCAUGAAGGAAGUCAAUAAUUUGUCUCCUUUAAAUGCAUUAUUCCUUUUCUUUGAGUUCAGAAGAAUCAACCUUUUCAGAGUAAGUUCUUAUUUCAAUUAGAGAACACAGAUAAGUAACUACAGAAACUGGAAAGUUGAAAUCUCUUUUGCUUAUUUAGAACAUCACCUUUGCUUAUUUAGAACUACGGGAAUUUCCUCCAUAGUACAUUACAUAUUGCCUUAGAAUCCUAUAGUCAUAAGUGAGGUCAGAAUGGACCUUCAGGGGUUAUCUAGUUCAACUCCUUCCUCAGACAGGUCCAAUCAGAUCAAGUUAAUCAGGGCCAUGGCCAGGGGAGUCCUGAACAUCUCCAAAUAUGGAGAUUCUACAACUGCUUUGAGCAACCCCCGCGUUUGACCAUUCUCAUGGUAUUUUUUCCCCCUUUUAUCUAGAAUAUGGAAUUUACCAUGUUGCAACUUGUGUCUGUUGGCUCUUGUGCCAUCAUCGUGCACCUCUGAGAAGAGGCUAGUUCCAUUUUCCAGUCCUGUCCUGCAGUCAGGAAGUUGGACAGUUCUAAGUCACAAACUAAAAUGGAAUCUUUAUUACACAGUUCUGUUUCCCCCUGAGGAGAUGCCUGGGAACUCUCAUAGACCAAAAUGUGCAGUACUCUGCCGCUGGUGUACCUAAACUCAUCUUGUGCUGAAAUCUUCUGAGAAGAAGGAAGAUUCUUGAAGCCAGGGUGACCAUCUGGAUUUGUAUAGUUCUUCAGAUUGUUUUGUUGAAUGAAAACCAUGUAUUAAGACAACUCUUCUGAGCAGUUGCAUUGCUAA